rnacentral:lncRNA from 1 species
AUUGAAUCCGAGAAAUCUUCAAACCACUUGCUCAAGUGUUUUAAACUACUCGAACUUACACAAAACUGCAAUCAAACCAUUCAAGUAUUGUUGAUUCAAGUGUUUUAACUAUUCAAACUUAUACAAAAUUGCGAUCAAACCAUUCAAAUAACUAAAUCGUAGACAAUGUCAAUUCUCGAUUUAACUGAAUGAACGGUUUGAUUCAGUUUUUAAAACAUUGUUCGAAAGUUCUUGAUGGCUAUGUGCUUGAGUGAUCCAAUACAUCAACCAUAGAGUUUUAGCCUAUGGAAAAAACAUAGCUCCACUUGAACUCCCACUAGUUUAGCAACUUCAAAAUAUCAUAUUGAUAGUUGAAAAUUCAAAAGUAAAAAAAGUAGAAAAUUCAAAAUUCCUAAAUUUCUAAAACACAACCAGUUUGGACAUGUCCCUUAAACCCAUCUGGACAAUCCAAUUUUCUCCAAUUAUUAUUAUUUACAUCAAAAACAUAACCCAUAUGCACUUCACCAUAGCCACUUGAUCCAAUCACAACCACAAAACCAUCGAACGCUCCAACAUACGCCACGUUGCAUAUCUCAUCUGGAACCCUACCCAUCUUCUGCCACGUGUGAGCCCUCAUCAUAACCAAUUCACCAUUGCAACACAUAUAAACACUCUCCUCCUCAUCACCACCGUCCACCAAAGUCAUAGGACACGUGGCACAAUCCAAAUACUCUUCCUCCACUUGACCCCACUUCCACGUCACAAAAUCAAACGCCUCCGCACUCCUCUCAAACCUCCCUUGAUUCUCCGUCGUGUAACCACCAACAACUAUAAACCUCCCGCCACGGAACACCGCCUUACACUCGUCUCUCUCCGACGACAUCUCUGGCAACUGAACCCACACAUCCGCCACCACAUCAUACGCCAAAGCGGACCUCAAUGCGUUUUUCUCGUCAUCAUGACCGCCAGCUACAAAAAUUGUUUGGCGGUCAUCUGACGAACAUCCAAAAAACGUACGAGGUCCACCUGGCAUUUGGGUCCCACAACGCCACUUGGCCGACAAAAAAUUAUAAACAAACACAGAAUUCGAUGCUUUCCAUGUUUCCGGAUCCAAACCUCCCAACACAACAAGAUCAUAACCAACACAUGCUACCUGACACAUAACCGGUAAACCGGAAUUAUAACCGGGUGGUGCCGGUAACUCACUCCAAAAACCCGUUUCCGGUUCAAACACACUCAACCGGUAAACCGGGUUUACAAGUCUUUUUGUUGAACCGGUUUCAGUUUUAUUCGGUUCAAUCCGUGCUUGAACCAUCACAAGAACUUUUUGACUGUUACCGGUUCUCCGCCGUUGACGAUGGUACUCCACCGUAUGUAUCUCCGUCUUCCACCCUUUACAAACUGAAGCCACCGUUGGAAACUGUUGGUAUGAAACCCGAAUUAAACAGUCUCGGGCCACAUCUUCGGGUAAACCAGAAAUAAGCUCCAUAUUCAUAAUAUAAAAAACUUAAGAAUUGAAAUUUGAGAGUGAAAAUGAAGAUUAAAAGAGGAUUUAGCAACAACCCAUUAACUAGAAUUGAAGAAAGAAGAGAUUUUGAGGUGAAAGAUUGAAACUUGAAUAAAGGAGAUGAAAGGGGUAUUUAUGGUAUUUGAGUAUGUUUUUGAUAUUUUUGAGGUAAAAAAAGUUCUGUGUUAUGUUGUGUUAUGGAGAUGGAGGGAGAGGGGUUUGAGGAAUGAGAUUUAUAGAGAGGAGAAGAUAAGAAAAAAGAGGGGUGCACAUGGGUUAGGGUGUGAUUAGUGAUUACAAUGUGGGGCAAGUUGUGAGUGUAAAAGUGAUAAGUAUAAUAAGUGCUUCUAGAAGGGUUUUUGAUUGAGAAGCUGGACAUGUUGAAAAGGACAAAUAAGCUUUAAUAAUUAUUGAAAGGCAGCAACGACUUUUACUAAUUUGCUCUGUUUGCUUAACAAUUGAGUGAUUGAUGAUAGCAAUUUUUAUAAACGAGUCUUUCG